GAAGAGAAGAGAGAAGAGGGUUGAGAUCAGGGCCGCGUCAGCAUUUUAGAUAUGCUGAGGUCACGAGGUCAGACAUUCACCCCAUCCAACCCAGGAUUUUCUUUUCAAUCAUUCUGUUUUUUAUUAUUUUAUAUUUCAGUCACAUAGUCAAUUAUAUCUGUUUUCUAAUUAGUUUUGUUGCUACACAAAAAAAUUAUUCAUAAACUAAAGUAUGUUAUGAAAUUAGGAAAUGAUUAGGAAGUUAAAAUUUUUAGUCAAAUUGGUUUUGCAAAUGUGAUACAAGUAGUCAAAUUAAAACACUGGAAAGAGCUUUUUAUAACAAUCACUACUAUGGGGUAACCAGGUUGCUAAAAGAGUAACAUUCCCAGAUAAAAUAGGACCUCAGUGUCCUCAAUGCAGCUGCUGCCCUGGUUAAGAAUCUAACUGAGUUUGGUUUCUGAGUAUUCAAUCAUCCAUUAUGCAUUUGGUUCAAUGUGAUGAAAUGUUUAAACACUUUUACAAAUGUAUAUUCUAUAGUUGUUUCCCUUUAUAUCUACUAGUUAGAUCUGUUUGUGUAUCCAGACUUUUACUUUGCUCUAUAACAGAGUUACUCAACAGGAGGCCCGCGGGCCGCAUCCGGCCCGCGGACGCUUAUUUUGUGGCCCCGACAUGCCUGGUUAUAAAUGCAUAAUAAUUAUAAUUAGCCAACCAAAAUCGUGUGAAAAUUAGGUAGUGCGCCUUUAAUUUAACCCUCUGAAAACGAAGCCCGCUACAGUGCGUUUUGACAGCUUUACGUUUUUAAAAUCUGUAUAUCUCCGCGACAAUACGUCGCCGAGAUACAUUUAAAAUACUGGAUGAAUCCGGAGGAUUUCCUCUUCCGUUCAUUUCUCUACCGUAAGCUCCUCUGCGAUUCACAGAGAAAGAUAGGGGGACGAACGUGUCGGGUGACGCGGCACCGAGUACUGUGAUUUGCCAAUGCGGUUGUCCGUCAACAUUUUGCGGAGAAGAACAACCAAUGAACACUCAAGAAAUCACAAGGACCUACCCACCUCCCAGGUAAUGCUCAUUAGCAGUCUGUCAGUCAGAGAAGCCAGAGAACACAGCGCGAACGGACUUCACAACAAGGAAGCAGCUGCAGCGACUUUGGCGAGCAGCGCGGAGCCUCAGAGGAGCUCCAGAGCCACGAGGAGGAACACGCAGCCAGAAGAGAUCCACUUGGACCGGAGAGGAUUCACCAGCACCUGCAGUGCAGCCUGCAGAUCCACCUGCAGCCCCACCUGCAGCUCUACCUGUCCGGCCAGCAAUGGUCUCGUGCCCCGGAGGACCAUGACACGAUGACAUGAUGCCAUUAUAGUGAAGCCAUAUUGUAAAUAUUCUGUAUCAAUAUUUGUGUUCUGUUUUCUAUUUCUCAACAUGAAUAUUAUGGAGAAUAUGUUUACUUUUUGUAAUGUAUAAUACAUUUAUUUGAAGAAGAAAAAAUGUAAAUGGUCAUUUUUUAUUUGCACACACCCCAUGAAACUUUAUCUGCAAUAUUAAGUCAUUUGGUUUUUGACAUCUUUACAUGUAUCUAGCAUUGUAUUCAGAUAUUUCACUGCUUUUGUGAACCCAUGACCUUUGGUAAACCAAUUUUAAACACCAAACAGUUGGUCCACAUGAGUAAAGGUGUGUUUUCAGAAGAGAUAUGAAGAAUUUUCAGCUUUAGGGCCAUAUUUUUUCUUUCCAAUUGUACCUGAGGUCAAUUCUGCCUCAUUAUAUAGAGAGCUGAGAUUGUUCUGGAAUUUUUGAUGUAUAACACAUGGGUAUGUGUCAUAUGCAAAAGCCUUUUAAAGGUGAAUUUAAUUUUGUUUGUAAAAUCGAGUCGAAAGGGCUGCGUUUGAGGAACAACUCAUAGAGCUGCAGCACAACAACAUCCUCAAAGAAAGACACAAGGAGGAGAGCAUUGACACAUUCUGGAUAUCCUGUGUUCUGAGGAACACAAACCCUGCAUUAAUCCUGUGUGCUCAGAAAAUCCUGACCUGCUUUGGAUCUACUUAUGUGUGUGAAAGCUCCUCUGCCAUGGGAAUAAUAAAAUCAAAGCAGCGUUCCCGUCUAAAUGACAGACAUUUGGCAGACUAUCUCAGAGCAGCUACAACUGAGCAACAACCAGAUCUGAAAGGACUUGUGAAAAGAAUGCACACUCAGAGCUCUCACUAGGAAUAAGUAAACAGUUGUUUGUUUUAUUGUUAUUGUUAUUAAUAUUUGUGAAAUGCAGACUCAGAGCUCUCACUAGGAAUAAGUAAACAGUUGUUAGUUAUAUUGUUAUUGUUAUUAAUAUUUGUGAAAUGCAGACUCAGAGCUCUCAAUAGGAAAAGUAGCAAUUGCAAACUUUAUCAAUGUCAUCAAUGCAAAGCUAUUCACUCCAGUGUUAAUAAAACAUCAGCUUGA